AGCGGCGGACGGGUGAGUAACACGUGGGUAACCUGCCCAAGAGACUGGGAUAACACCUGGAAACAGAUGCUAAUACCGGAUAACAACACCAGACGCAUGUCUAGAGUUUGAAAGAUGGUUCUGCUAUCACUCUUGGAUGGACCUGCGGUGCAUUAGCUAGUUGGUAAGGUAACGGCUUACCAAGGCAAUGAUGCAUAGCCGAGUUGAGAGACUGAUCGGCCACAUUGGGACUGAGACACGGCCCAAACUCCUACGGGGGGCAGCAGUAGGGAAUCUUCCACAAUGGACGAAAGUCUGAUGGAGCAACGCCGCGUGAGUGAAGAAGGGUUUCGGCUCGUAAAGCUCUGUUGCGGGGGAAAAAAGGCAGCUAUCAGGAAAUGGGUGCUGACUGAUGGUGCCCCGCCAGAAAGUCACGGCUAACUACGUGCCAGCAGCCGCGGUAAUACGUAGCGUGGCGAGCGUUAUCCGGAAUGGUUGGGCGUAAAGGGUGCGCAGGCGGUCAUGCAAGUCUGGAGUGAAACGCAUGAGCUCAAGUCAUGCAUGGCUUUGGAAACUGGAGGACUGGAGAGCAGGAGAGGGCGGUGGAAUUCCAUGUGUAGCGGUAAAAUGCGUAGAUAUAUGGAAGAACACCAGUGGGGAAGGCGGCCGCCUGGCCUGUUGCUGACGCUGAGGCACGAAAGCGUGGGGAGCAAAUAGGAUUAGAUACCCUAGUAGUCCACGCCGUAAACGAUGAGGACCAAGUGUUGGGGGUGAAACCUCAGUGCUGAAGUUAACGCAGUGAGUCCUCCGCCUGGGGAGUAUGCACGCAAGUGUGAAACUCAAAGGAAUUGACGGGGGCCCGCACAAGCGGUGGAGUAUGUGGUUUAAUUCGAAGCAACGCGAAGAACCUUACCAGGCCUUGACAUGGGAUGCGAAGAUGCAGAGAUGCAUCGGAGGUCAACAUCCACANCAGGUGGUGCAUGGUUGUCGUCAGCUCGUGUCGUGAGAUGUUGGGUCAAGUCCCGCAACGAGCGCAACCCUUGUGGCAUGUUGCUAACAGGAAAAGCUGAGGACUCAUGCCAGACUGCCGGUGACAAACCGGAGGAAGGCGGGGAUGACGUCAAAUCAUCAUGCCCCUUAUGGCCUGGGCUACACACGUACUACAAUGGCGGCUACAAAGAGCAGCGAGACAGGGAUGUCGAGCGAAUCUCAUAAAAGCCGUCCCAGUUCGGAUUGGAGGCUGCAACCCGCCUCCAUGAAGUUGGAAUCGCUAGUAAUCGCGGAUCAGCAUGCCGCGGUGAAUACGUUCCCGGGUCUUGUACUCACCGCCCGUCAA
rnacentral:rRNA from 1 species